AGAGUUUGAUCCUGGCUCAGGAUGAACGCUGGCGGCGUGCUUAACACAUGCAAGUCGAACGAUCCUUCGGGAUAGUGGCGGACGGGUGACUAACGCGUGGGAAUCUGCCCUUAGGAGGGGGAUAACGGCUGGAAACGGCCGCUAAUACCCCAUAUGCCGAGAGGUGAAACGAAUUUCGCCUGAGGAUGAGCCCGCGUCUGAUUAGCUAGUUGGUGGGGUAAAGGCCUACCAAGGCGACGAUCAGUAGCUGGUCUGAGAGGAUGAUCAGCCACACUGGGACUGAGACACGGCCCAGACUCCUACGGGAGGCAGCAGUGGGGAAUUUUCCGCAAUGGGCGAAAGCCUGACGGAGCAACGCCGCGUGAGGGAUGAAGGCCUCUGGGCUGUAAACCUCUUUUCUCAAGGAAGAAGAACUGACGGUACUUGAGGAAUAAGCCACGGCUAAUUCCGUGCCAGCAGCCGCGGUAAUACGGGAGUGGCAAGCGUUAUCCGGAAUUAUUGGGCGUAAAGCGUCCGCAGGCGGCCUUGUAAGUCUGUUGUUAAAGCGUGGAGCUCAACUCCAUUUAAGCAAUGGAAACUACAAGGCUGGAGUGUGGUAGGGGCAGAGGGAAUUCCCGGUGUAGCGGUGAAAUGCGUAGAUAUCGGGAAGAACACCAGUGGCGAAGGCGCUCUGCUGGGCCAUAACUGACGCUCAUGGACGAAAGCCAGGGGAGCGAAAGGGAUUAGAUACCCCUGUAGUCCUGGCCGUAAACGAUGAACACUAGGUGUCGGGGGAAUCGACCCUCUCGGUGUCGUAGCCAACGCGUUAAGUGUUCCGCCUGGGGAGUACGCACGCAAGUGUGAAACUCAAAGGAAUUGACGGGGGCCCGCACAAGCGGUGGAGUAUGUGGUUUAAUUCGAUGCAACGCGAAGAACCUUACCAGGGUUUGACAUCCUGCGAAUCCCUUGGAAACGAGGGAGUGCCUUCGGGAGCGCAGUGACAGGUGGUGCAUGGCUGUCGUCAGCUCGUGUCGUGAGAUGUUGGGUUAAGUCCCGCAACGAGCGCAACCCACGUCUUUAGUUGCCAGCAUUCAGUUGGGCACUCUAGAGAGACCGCCGGUGAUAAACCGGAGGAAGGUGUGGAUGACGUCAAGUCAUCAUGCCCCUUACAUCCUGGGCUACACACGUACUACAAUGCUACGGACAAAGGGCAGCAAGCUCGCGAGAGUUAGCAAAUCCCAUAAACCGUGGCUCAGUUCAGAUCGUAGGCUGCAACUCGCCUACGUGAAGGAGGAAUCGCUAAUAAUCGCAGGUCAGCAUACUGCGGUGAAUACGUUCCCGGGCCUUGUACACACCGCCCGUCACACCAUGGAAGUUGGCCAUGCCCGAAGUCGUUACUCCAACCCUUGUGGAGGAGGACGCCGAAGGUGGGGCUGAUGACUGGGGUGAAGUCGUAACAAGGUA
rnacentral:rRNA from 1 species